rnacentral:rRNA from 1 species
UACAGGGGGGGCAAGCGUUGUUCGGAAUUACUGGGCGUAAAGGGCUCGUAGGUGGCCAACUAAGUCAGACGUGAAAUCCCUCAGCUUAACUGGGGAACUGCGUCUGAUACUGGAUGGCUUGAGUUUGGGAGAGGGAUGCGGAAUUCCAGGUGUAGCGGUGAAAUGCGUAGAUAUCUGGAGGAAUACCGGUGGCGAAGGCGGCAUCCUGGACCGGCAUUGACGCUGAGGAGCGAAAGCUAGGGGAGCAAACGGGG